UACGAAGGGGGCUAGCGUUGCUCGGAAUCACUGGGCGUAAAGCGCACGUAGGCGGAUUGUUAAGUCAGGGGUGAAAUCCUGGAGCUCAACUCCAGAACUGCCUUUGAUACUGAGGAUCUUGAGUUCGGGAGAGGUGAGUGGAACUGCGAGUGUAGAGGUGAAAUUCGUAGAUAUUCGCAAGAACACCAGUGGCGAAGGCGGCUCACUGGCCCGAUACUGACGCUGAGGCACGAAAGCGUGGGGAGCAAACAGGG
rnacentral:rRNA from 1 species